AAAUAGCCAUAAAUACAUAUGAGAGGAAAAAAAGAGCACAGUUUUAGCCCAUCGCAUAGCCUUGUUCCCCCUCAUUAUGUGAAUGCACAAACAUCUGGAAGAAGGGAGAGAGAAAUGCCAGGGGCAGUAAAUAGGCACAGGUGAAGACUGAAAGGUUAAUAUGUGUCUAGUAGAAGUUUUGUAAUCUACUCUGAGUACUUACUGUUAAGCAGAAUUUGAAUAAAAAUCUGGAAACCAACAGUUAUCACAAGAAAAUAAUUUUUACUUUUAUGUGCUGCGCUUUCAUACACCAUUAUCGUUUCUUAUAUCAUUGUGUAAUUUUGCUCAAAUAUUGAUUAGUAAUUUCGUAAAUCUGAAAAACACAAUUCCCAGGUGAUGACCAUGACCCUAGAAAAAGUUUUGAGAAAACAACCUCAUUACGAGACGUACCUUGCAAUAGAUGUUUGUUUAAGUGGAAAUCCACCAGAGCAGCUGCCCAGUGCAACGGUACAUAUUUGCUUCUGAAUCCUUUCUCAAAGGCACUAUUUAAACAUGUUGAUGAACUGGGCUGGAUUUAUCCCCACCUCCAUUCCAGCAAAACAAGGAGACUCAGAAGAUAAAAUUUGUUUUGUUAUUGCAAGUAGUGCUCCGUGGUUUUAGACAUUAUAGCGAACAUCUUUGCCAUCUCAAGGAUAUACACAGAAUGUUUCUGCUUGAUAUUUUCUGUGAGGAGACCAGGGAAUUGAGGAGAGGUCAGGGAGCUGCUGACCUCUCUACCGGAUGAUGGAGUUAUGCUGCUUCUAAGAUACGGCAAAUGUUUCUGAAGAAAUGUACCUGAAUUUGAGGCCUCCUUCUGGUGUCUCUUCACAAAUACUACUGUUCACCACAAGAGAUCCAACGGAAUUAUAUGAAUUCAUCCAAAGUGGGAAAUAGGUUUUCUGCUGAACUGUUUUGCAGCUCAAUUUUAAAUUUACAACUGUUUUCCCUUUAUUAUCUAUUCAGUUUGAAUUUUAUUCUCUAAUAUGUGUUUGUAUUGUUUGACCUUACUUAGACUGAAUUUCCAUCCUAUACAUGAGCAAAAUGUCUUGUUUGUUUGCUUGUUUGCUUGUUCAUUUAAAUGUUUAAUCCUUUUAGUGAGUCUCCUAUAGCUGAUAAAAGCUUUUCCUCUGUUGAGUUUAAUUUUGGCACUUUUACUUUGGAGGCCUUUUCUUUAAUGCAUCCAGUAUUACUUGUAUCUUAAUAAAAGCUUUUAGAUUGCUA